rnacentral:rRNA from 1 species
GACGAACGCUGGCGGCGUGCUUAACACAUGCAAGUCGAACGGAAAGGCCCUGCUUUUGUGGGGUGCUCGAGUGGCGAACGGGUGAGUAACACGUGAGUAACCUGCCCUUGACUUUGGGAUAACUUCAGGAAACUGGGGCUAAUACCGGAUAGGAGCUCCUGCUGCGUGGUGGGGGUUGGAAAGUUUCGGCGGUUGGGGAUGGACUCGCGGCUUAUCAGCUUGUUGGUGGGGUAGUGGCUUACCAAGGCUUUGACGGGUAGCCGGCCUGAGAGGGUGACCGGCCACAUUGGGACUGAGCUACGGCCCAGACUCCUACGGGAGGCAGCAGUGGGGAAUAUUGCACAAUGGGCGGAAGCCUGAUGCAGCAACGCCGCGUGCGGGAUGACGGCCUUCGGGUUGUAAACCGCUUUCGCCUGUGACGAAGCGUGAGUGACGGUAAUGGGUAAAGAAGCACCGGCUAACUACGUG